AGUGAACGCUGGCGGCAGGCCUAAUACAUGCAAGUCGAACGGCAGCACGGCAGAGCUUGCUCUGUGGGUGGCGAGUGGCGGACGGGUGAGGAAUACAUGGGAAUCUGCCCAGUCGUGGGGAUAACGUAGGGAAACUUACGCUAAUACCGCAUGCGCCCUUCGGGGAAAGCCGGGGACCUUCGGCCUGGCGCGAUUGGAUGAGCCCAUGUCGGAUUAGCUAGUUGGCGGGGUAAUGGCCCACCAAGGCGACGAUCCGUAGCUGGUCUGAGAGGAUGAUCAGCCACACUGGAACUGAGACACGGUCCAGACUCCUACGGGAGGCAGCAGUAGGGAAUAUUGGACAAUGGGCGCAAGCCUGAUCCAGCCAUGCCGCGUGAGUGAAGAAGGCCCUCGGGUUGUAAAGCUCUUUUGUCCGGAAAGAAAAGCGCCGGGUUAAUACCCUGGUGUCCUGACGGUACCGGAAGAAUAAGCACCGGCUAACUUCGUGCCAGCAGCCG
rnacentral:rRNA from 1 species